rnacentral:rRNA from 1 species
AACGAACGCUGGCGGCAGGCCUAAUACAUGCAAGUCGAGCGGACCUUUCGGGGUUAGCGGCGGACGGGUUAGUAACGCGUGGGAACGUGCCCAAAGGUACGGAAUAGCAUCGGGAAACUGGUGGUAAUACCGUAUGUGCCCUUCGGGGGAAAGAAUUUCGCCUUUGGAUCGGCCCGCGUAAGAUUAGGUAGUUGGUGAGGUAACGGCUCACCAAGCCUACGAUCUUUAUCUGGUUUGAGAGGAUGAUCAGAAACACUGGGACUGAGACACGGCCCAGACUCCUACGGGAGGCAGCAGUAGGGAAUCUUGGACAAUGGGCGCAAGCCUGAUCCAGCCAUGCCGCGUGAGUGAAGAAGGCCUUAGGGUUGUAAAGCUCUUUCAGGGGUGAGGAUUAUGACAGUAACCCCAGAAGAAGCACCGGCUAACUUCG